CAUUACUAAUAUGCUUUAUUGAACUCUAACAGAAUUGUAAGCAUAACUAAAGAUUUUUCCACAUUGUGACUGUUUCACGAAUACCACUCACUUUUAGAGUUGAGACCAACUUUUUUCCCCCUAAUGUUUGAUCUGGAAGAGCUUCUCCAUUAUUAGCUUUCUGAGUCAUCCAGAUCAUUCAAAUUAUGCAUUGUAACUCUUGCUGGUUGUUGAUAUUCACCCACUUAAGUGAAUAUGUACUCAAUAAAACAGAUUUUCCUGAAUUGAACUAACCCUGUUGUAAGGAAAACUGGGUAUGCAAUAGAGUCCUAAAUGAACUUGAAGGAAUACUAAGAGAUCUUGAGUGUGUUUUCUAAAAAUCUGACAACACAAGUGGGUUUUCGAUAUAGCUUUCCAGAAGAAGUACAAGUUUUAUUACUCAGGGCAUUUUAAACUAGAAUAGACAAAACACUAGUGUGGUAUGUUGAAAUAAAAUAUGUGUAGUCCGUCUGUGAAUUAGUGUUUACUUUCAAUAUAAUUAUAAGUGAAGCAACACUGUAAUGGGAAUUUUUCAUACACAUGAAAGCUAUGGCUACUAUGUUUCCACACCGACCAUAUGUUGCACAUAUUGGUUGGUGGGGAUGUGUAUCCCUACUGCCCUCUUGUGGAUGAAAUGUAAGACCUACCUGAUCAGAGUAUCUAACAAGCUUCGUAUGGUUUGGGGGGUAUAUCAAUCCUUAAUCAUUUAGGGUAGAAAGAAAAUAGCUGUGUUGAUGCAUUUUCCAUCAAAUUAUAAAAUUGAAGGGCAUUAAAAACAACAGAGUCAAACUCUGUAAUUAAGACUGCCAUUUAAUGUUUGUUCGCACACGGUAUUCAUUUCUGUGUAUCCCUGCCAAAGCCCCAUUGUGUAAUGUUGUCCUCACAUGACAUUAAAAACACCAGUUCCCUGGAAAAUGGAAAAAAGAAACCGUGCUGCCUUGAAAUACAUGGAGUUUACUUUUGGAAACAGAAAAUUAAUACAGACUCAGUAAGAUAAUUUGGAACACAAAUAAUGGCUAGAAGAAACUUGAAAAUCAGUACUGUUCUUAAAUCUACACAAGUAUAUUAGCAAUCUAUGGGAGUGCUGGCUGAUACUCAGACAAGGGCAGAAAAAAUAGGUUUCAGAAUAGGGAAGCUGAUUGGAGAAAAGGUUAAAUAAACACACUCUUAUAGUAAAGGGACAGGAAAAUAUGUCCAAGCCCACAUGUAAUACUUGUGCAUGUAGUUAGUGCUAUCAUACUGAGAUUGUUUUUUGGACAGAAUACAGAUGCUCUAUUCUCAGGGAAGAAAGACAUGGAUCUGUAGAGUUCUUCAGCAUUUUAGCCCAAAGAAGAUAAAUGUGAAGGCAAUUCCUUGUAUAAUUUUUAUUAUCUUAAGGGAGUUAGACAUCCAUUAUUAAUUUUUAGUCUUACUUAGUAUAUCAAAUAAUUAAAAUACCAAGAGGGAAAAAUUACACAAUAUAUAUCACCCAAACAACUGACAUACCAGGUAGGAUGGGGGAAUUCAAGUGAAA